rnacentral:rRNA from 1 species
UACGUAGGGUGCGAGCGUUAAUCGGAAUUACUGGGCGUAAAGCGCACGUAGGCGGAUUUGUAAGUCAGGGGUGAAAUCCCGAGGCUCAACCUCGGAACUGCCUUUGAUACUGCAAAUCUCGAGUCCGGAAGAGGUGAGUGGAAUUCCUAGUGUAGAGGUGAAAUUCGUAGAUAUUAGGAAGAACACCAGUGGCGAAGGCGGCUCACUGGUCCGGUACUGACGCUGAGGUGCGAAAGCGUGGGGAGCAAACAGG